rnacentral:rRNA from 1 species
UGAGGAAUAUUGGUCAAUGGGCGUAAGCCUGAACCAGCCAAGUAGCGUGAGGGAAGACUGCCCUAUGGGUUGUAAACCUCUUUUGUGCGGGGAUAAAGUGUGGGACGUGUCCCAUAUUGCAGGUACCGCACGAAUAAGGACCGGCUAAUUCCGUGCCAGCAGCCGCGGUAAUACGGAAGGUCCGGGCGUUAUCCGGAUUUAUUGGGUUUAAAGGGAGCGCAGGCCGUCCUUUAAGCGUGCUGUGAAAUGCCGCGGCUCAACCGUGGCACUGCAGCGCGAACUGGAGGACUUGAGUACGCACGAGGUAGGCGGAAUUCGUGGUGUAGCGGUGAAAUGCUUAGAUAUCACGAAGAACUCCGAUUGCGAAGGCAGCUUACCGGAGCGCAACUGACGCUGAGGCUCGAAAGCGCGGGUAUCGAACAGGAUUAGAUACCCUGGUAGUCCGCGCGGUAAACGAUGGAUGCCCGCCGUUGGGAUUUAGAUUUCAGCGGCCAAGCGAAAGCGUUAAGCAUCCCACCUGGGGAGUACGCCGGCAACGGUGAAACUCAAGGGAAUUGACGGGGGCCCGCACAAGCGGAGGAACAUGUGGUUUAAUUCGAUGAUACGCGAGGAACCUUACCCGGGCUUGAAUUGCAGGAGAACGAUCCAGAGAUGGUGAGGCCCUUCGGGGCUCCUGUGAAGGUGCUGCAUGGUUGUCGUCAGCUCGUGCCGUGAGGUGUCGGCUCAAGUGCCAUAACGAGCGCAACCCCUGUCCAUAGUUGCCAUCAGGUCGUGCUGGGCACUCUGUGGAGACUGCCGCCGUAAGGUGUGAGGAAGGUGGGGAUGACGUCAAAUCAGCACGGCCCUUACGUCCGGGGCUACACACGUGUUACAAUGGGGCAUACAGCGAGUUGGAUGUGCGCAAGUACGUCCGGAUCAAUAAAGUGCCUCUCAGUUCGGACUGGGGUCUGCAACCCGACCCCACGAAGCUGGAUUCGCUAGUAAUCGCGCAUCAGCCAUGGCGCGGUGAAUACGUUCCC